rnacentral:snoRNA from 1 species
UAUCUCUGGAUUCCUUACCCAUCAGAAGUAGACACUGGUCUGAGUGGCUGUAAAAGAAGGAAAUGUAAAACUGAAACACACCUGCUUUCACGUGAAUUGAUUCCAAACAAAA